rnacentral:lncRNA from 1 species
UUCAUACAGGGAUAGAUAAAAGAAUGAAAUCUAAGUCUGGACCUGCCGAAAAGUCACUUCGCUAACAACAAAAGAAAGCCUGCCUGAGAAUUGAGACAACACAAAGGAAAGCAGUGUUGAGAGAUGGAGAGAGAGAGAGCAAGGCCUGAGGAAAUGAGCCUGGAUCUCCUUCCUGGAUAGUGGUGUGCAGAGGAAGCGAAGGAAUAAACAGCAAGGAAUAAAUAGCAAGGAAAAAGGAAUAAAUGGCAAGAAGUCUACAAAAACUGAAUGCUGUGCUUUUUCAGCCAUUUAGGCUUUGACUGUGGAGAGUAACAGACCCAGCCAUGGUGAUUUCACAGCUCUGGGAAAUUUGAGAAACCCAGGUGUUCUUCAGAAGGGAACAGUGAAAAGCAGGGAGC